rnacentral:rRNA from 1 species
GAUCAACGCUGGCGGCAUGCCUUACACAUGCAAGUCGAACGGUAACAGGUUAAGCUGACGAGUGGCGAACGGGUGAGCAAUACAUCGGAACGUGCCCAGACGUGGGGGAUAACGUAGCGAAAGCUACGCUAAUACCGCAUACGAACUGAGGUUGAAAGCGGGGGACCGUAAGGCCUCGCGCGGUUGGAGCGGCCGAUGGCAGAUUAGGUAGUUGGUGGGGUAAAGGCUUACCAAGCCUGCGAUCUGUAGCUGGUCUGAGAGGACGGCCAGCCACACUAGGGGUGAGGCACGUCCCAGACUCCUACGGGAGGCAGCAGUGGGGAAUUUUGGACAAUGGGCGCAAGCCUGAUCCAGCAAUGCCGCGUGCAGGAUGAAGGCCUUCGGGUUGUAAACUGCUUUUGUACGGAGCGAAACGGCUUCCACUAAUACUGGGGGCUAAUGACGGUACCGUAAGAAUAAGCACCGGCUAACUACGUGCCAGCAGCCGCCGUAA